UACGUAGGGGGCUAGCGUUGUCCGGAAUCAUUGGGCGUAAAGCGCGUGUAGGCGGCUCGGUAAGUCUGCUGUGAAAGUCCAGGGCUCAACCCUGGGAUGCCGGUGGAUACUGUCGAGCUCGAGUCCGGAAGAGGCGAGUGGAAUUCCUGGUGUAGCGGUGAAAUGCGCAGAUAUCAGGAGGAACGCCAAUUGCGAAGGCAGCUCGCUGGGACGUUACUGACGCUGAGACGCGAAAGCGUGGGGAGCAAACAGG
rnacentral:rRNA from 1 species